AACGCUAGCUACAGGCUUAACACAUGCAAGUCGAGGGGCAGCAUGACCUAGCAAUAGGUUGAUGGCGACCGGCGCACGGGUGAGUAACACGUAUCCAACCUACCGGUUAUUCCGGGAUAGCCUUUCGAAAGAAAGAUUAAUACCGGAUAGUAUAACGAGAAGGCAUCUUCUUGUUAUUAAAGAAUUUCGAUAACCGAUGGGGAUGCGUUCCAUUAGUUUGUUGGCGGGGUAACGGCCCACCAAGACAUCGAUGGAUAGGGGUUCUGAGAGGAAGGUCCCCCACAUUGGAACUGAGACACGGUCCAAACUCCUACGGGAGGCAGCAGUGAGGAAUAUUGGUCAAUGGACGAGAGUCUGAACCAGCCAAGUAGCGUGAAGGAUGACUGCCCUAUGGGUUGUAAACUUCUUUUAUAUGGGAAUAAAGUGAGCCACGUGUGGCUUUUUGUAUGUACCAUACGAAUAAGGAUCGGCUAACUCCGUGCCAGCAGCCGCGGUAAUACGGAGGAUCCGAGCGUUAUCCGGAUUUAUUGGGUUUAAAGGGAGCGUAGGCGGACUAUUAAGUCAGCUGUGAAAGUUUGCGGCUCAACCGUAAAAUUGCAGUUGAUACUGGUCGUCUUGAGUGCAGUAGAGGUAGGCGGAAUUCGUGGUGUAGCGGUGAAAUGCUUAGAUAUCACGAAGAACUCCGAUUG
rnacentral:rRNA from 1 species